rnacentral:misc_RNA from 1 species
CCAAUAGCGUAUAUUAAAGUUGUUGCAGUUAAAAAGCUCGUAGUUGAAUUUCGGGAUCAAUUUAUUGGUCGUGCUAUUGUACGUACUGGUAUUAUUGAUUUCUACCUUCUGACGAACCAUGAUGUCAUUAAUUUGGUGUCUUGGGGAAUCAGGACUGUUACUUUGAAAAAAUUAGAGUGUUUAAAGCAGGCUCACGCUUGAAUACAUUAGCAUGGAAUAACGAAAUAGGACGUUUGAUUCUAUUUUGUUGGUUUUUAGGAUCGACGUAAUGAUUAAUAGGGAUAGUUGGGGGCAUUAGUAUUCAAUUGUCAGAGGUGAAAUUCUUGGAUUUAUUGAAGACUAACUACUGCGAAAGCAUUUGCCAAGGAUGUUUUCAUUAAUCAAGAACGAAAGUUAGGGGAUCGAAGACGAUCAGAUACCGUCGUAGUCUUAACCAUAAACUAUGCCGACUAGGGAUCGGAUGAUGUUAAUUUUUUAAUGACUCAUUCGGCGCCUUACG